rfam:Chelonia mydas contig224030, whole genome shotgun sequence.
UUUCUCUCUUGGAUCUUUUUGCGGUCUGGGCUUGCUGUUCCUCCAAUCAGUAGUCAGGAAGCCCUUACCCCAAAAAGUAUUUGCGAGGGAUA